rnacentral:rRNA from 1 species
GCAGGACACAUUGAACAUCGACAUCUUGAACGCAUAUUGCGGCCUAGGGUCACUCCCUUGGCCACGCCUGUCUCAGGGUCGGUUAAACAUCUUCGCAAGAAAUUGCGCAUUGGGCUGUCGCAGUCCUCCGGGACUCCGUCGCCUCAAGUUCAGACCCGAUUGCCUUCGCACGUCGUCGGGGCCCUCUCGACUACACAUGACGUAGCUCGCUUACAAGCAGUGCGCCGGUCGAGUUAGGGCCUGUUCUGUCAUGACGACGGGCGGGCGGUCGAAGCCUCGGACGAGUCGUACGACUCUCCAUCCUCCGACCUGAGAUCAGACGAGACAACCCCCUGAAUUUAAGCAUAUCACUAAGGGGAGGAAAAGAAACUAACUAGGAUUCCCUCAGUAACGGCGAGUGAAGCGGGAAAAGCCCAGCACCGAAUCCCUCGGCCUCGCGCCGCUGGGACCUGUGGUGUUUAGGACGCCUCACUGCGGUGGGGUACGGGUGCCCAAGUCCUUCUGAUCGGGGCCUCUCCCAUAGCGGGUGUCAGGCCUUUACAGGCACUCGUCCCUUCUGCUAAGAACGUCCUUGG